rnacentral:rRNA from 1 species
CCUACGAGAGGCAGCAGUGAGGAAUAUUGGUCAAUGGUCGGGAGACUGAACCAGCCAAGCCGCGUGAGGGAUGAAGGUACAGAGUAUCGUAAACCUCUUUUGUCAGGGAACAAAGGCGGGGACGCGUCCCCGGAUGAGUGUACCUGAAGAAAAAGCAUCGGCUAACUCCGUGCCAGCAGCCGCGGUAAUACGGAGGAUGCGAGCGUUAUCCGGAUUUAUUGGGUUGAAAGGGUGCGCAGGCGGUCUGUUAAGUCAGCGGUCAAAGCCCGGGGCUCAACCCCGGCCCGCCGUUGAGACUGGCAGGCUCGAGUUGGAGAGAAGUAUGCGGAAUGCGCGGGGUAGCGGUGAAAUGCAUAGAUAUCGCGCAGAACUCCGAUUGCGAAGGCAGCAUGCCGGCUCCACACUGACGCUGAGGCACGAAAGCGUGGGUAUCGAACAGGAUUAGAUACCCUUGUAGUC